rnacentral:rRNA from 1 species
GUAGUCUCGCACAGAUGCAUAUCAAUAAGCGGAGGAAAAGAAACUAACAAGGAUUCCCCUAGUAACGGCGAGUGAAGCGGGAAGAGCUCAAAUUUGAAAUCUUAAAGGGUUUCCCUUUACGAAUUGUAGUUUAAAGGAAGUGUUUUCUGUUGAGGUUUUGGUAAAAGUUCUUUGGAAUAGGACAUCAUAGAGGGUGAGAAUCCCGUAUUUGACCUUUACUUUCAACUUUGUGAUACACUUUCAAAGAGUCGGAUUGUUUGGGAAUGCAGUCCAAAAUGGGUGGUAAAUUUCAUCUAAAGCUAAAUAUUGGCGAGAGACCGAUAGCGAACAAGUACCGUGAGGGAAAGAUGAAAAGAACUUUGAAAAGAGAGUUAAACAGUACGUGAAAUUGUCAAAAGGGAAGCGUUUGACACCAGUGUUGUUUUUCUGAAAAUCAAUUAAAGAACUGUUUAUGCUAAGCUGUUUAGACUUUAUCAGCUAAUCUGUUUAGUUUUGAGCUUUUCUUUAAUGCACUUUUCAGUUAACAAGUCAACAUCAAUUUCUUUUGCUGUAAAAAAACUUGAGGAAGGUGGCUUGAGAUUCGUCUUAAGUGUUUUAUAGCCUCUUGCCUAUGCAGUCGGAGAGAUUGAGGUCUGCAGCGUAGAUCCUUCGGGGCUAAAUGCAUUUGUGCUAAGUUAUAGCAUUUUAUAGACAACUUGUUGACUAUGAUUUGUCUUGUAGCUUACUCGCUUAUGUUAUUUUACCUACGCUUAGGAUGUUGAGUAGCGACAUACGCAC